ensembl:lncRNA
GUGAGGUGGCAGCAGAGGUGUCGGUGUGACACCACUGUGGUGAGCGUCAGUGGUGUGAGGUGGCACCAGGGGUGUCAAUGUGACACCUCUAUGGUGAGUGUAAAUGGCGUGAGGUGCACCAGGGGUGUCCGUGUGACACCACCGUGGUGAGUGUUGGUGUCACAGUGGUGUGAGGUGGCAGUAGAGGUGUCGGUGUGACACCACCAUGGUGAGUGUUGGUGUCACAGUGGUGAAAGGUGGCACCAGGAGUGUCAGUGGUGUGAGGUGGCACCAGGAGUGUCACUGUGACACCACCAUGGUGAGUGUUGGUGUCACAGUGGUGUGAGGUGGCACCAGGAGUGUCACUGUGACACCACCAUGGUGAGUGUUGGUGUCACAGUGGUGUGAGGUGGCACCAGGAGUGUCAAUGUGACACCACCAUGGUGAGUGUUGGUGUCACAGUGGUGUGAGGUGGCACCAGGGGUGUCGGUGUGACACCUCUAUGGUGAGUGUUGGUGUCACAGUGGUGUGAGGUGGCACCACGAGUGUCAACGUGACACCACCAUAUCCGUGUUGGUGUCACGGUGGUGUGAGGUGGCACCAGGAGUGUCAGUGUGACACCACCGUGGUGACAGUGUUGGUGUCACAGUGGUGUGAGGUGGCACCAGGAGUGUCAAUGUGACACCUCUAUGGUGAGUGUUGGUGUCACAGUGGUGUGAGGUGGCAGCAGAGGUGUCGGUGUGACACCACCAUGGUGAAUGUUGGUGUCACAGUGGUGUGAGGUGCCACCAGGAGUGUCACUGGUGUGAGGUGGCACCAGGAGUGUCCGUGUGACACCUCUAUGGUGAGUGUUGGUGUCAGUGGUGUGAGGUGGCAGCAGAGGUGUCGGUGUGUCACCACGAUGGUCACCAUUGUGUCACCACGACUGUGACAGCACCACUGCUGUGACCACGGCACCGCACCACCAUUGGUGUCACCAGGAGACCUCAAUGGGUGUCACCAUGAUGUCACCACUGGUGUCACCAGGAUAUCACCAUCGGUGUCACCA